GGUUAAGCGACUAAGCGUACACGGUGGAUGCCCUGGCAGUCAGAGGCGAUGAAGGACGUGCUAAUCUGCGAAAAGCGUCGGUAAGGUGAUAUGAACCGUUAUAACCGGCGAUGUCCGAAUGGGGAAACCCAGUGUGAUUCGUCACACUAUCGUUAACUGAAUACAUAGGUUAACGAGGCGAACCGGGGGAACUGAAACAUCUAAGUACCCCGAGGAAAAGAAAUCAACCGAGAUUCCCCCAGUAGCGGCGAGCGAACGGGGAGCAGCCCAGAGUCUGAAUCAGCUUGUGUGUUAGUGGAACGGUCUGGAAAGUCCGACGGUACAGGGUGAUAGUCCCGUACACCAAAAUGCACAGGCUGUGAACUCGAAGAGUAGGGCGGGACACGUGGUAUCCUGUCUGAAUAUGGGGGGACCAUCCUCCAAGGCUAAAUACUCCUGACUGACCGAUAGUGAACCAGUACCGUGAGGGAAAGGCGAAAAGAACCCCGGCGAGGGGAGUGAAAAAGAACCUGAAACCGUGUACGUACAAGCAGUGGGAGCACCUUCGGGUGUGACUGCGUACCUUUUGUAUAAUGGGUCAGCGACUUAUAUUCUGUAGCAAGGUUAACCGUAUAGGGGAGCCGCAGGGAAACCGAGUCUUAACUGGGCGUUAAGUUGCAGGGUAUAGACCCGAAACCCGGUGAUCUAGCCAUGGGCAGGUUGAAGGUUGGGUAACACUAACUGGAGGACCGAACCGACUAAUGUUGAAAAAUUAGCGGAUGACUUGUGGCUGGGGGUGAAAGGCCAAUCAAACCGGGAGAUAGCUGGUUCUCCCCGAAAGCUAUUUAGGUAGCGCCUCGUGAACUCAUCUUCGGGGGUAGAGCACUGUUUCGGCUAGGGGGUCAUCCCGACUUACCAACCCGAUGCAAACUACGAAUACCGAAGAAUGUUAUCACGGGAGACACACGGCGGGUGCUAACGUCCGUCGUGAAGAGGGAAACAACCCAGACCGCCAGCUAAGGUCCCAAAGUCAUGGUUAAGUGGGAAACGAUGUGGGAAGGCACAGACAGCCAGGAUGUUGGCUUAGAAGCAGCCAUCAUUUAAAGAAAGCGUAAUAGCUCACUGGUCGAGUCGGCCUGCGCGGAAGAUGUAACGGGGCUAAACCAUGCACCGAAGCUGCGGCAGCGACACUAUGUGUUGUUGGGUAGGGGAGCGUUCUGUAAGCCUGCGAAGGUGACCUGUGAGGGUUGCUGGAGGUAUCAGAAGUGCGAAUGCUGACAUAAGUAACGAUAAAGCGGGUGAAAAGCCCGCUCGCCGGAAGACCAAGGGUUCCUGUCCAACGUUAAUCGGGGCAGGGUGAGUCGACCCCUAAGGCGAGGCCGAAAGGCGUAGUCGAUGGGAAACAGGUUAAUAUUCCUGUACUUGGUGUUACUGCGAAGGGGGGACGGAGAAGGCUAUGUUAGCCGGGCGACGGUUGUCCCGGUUUAAGCAUGUAGGCUGGUUGUCCAGGCAAAUCCGGAUAAUCAAGGCUGAGGUGUGAUGACGAGGCACUACGGUGCUGAAGUAACAAAUGCCCUGCUUCCAGGAAAAGCCUCUAAGCAUCAGGUAACAUCAAAUCGUACCCCAAACCGACACAGGUGGUCAGGUAGAGAAUACCAAGGCGCUUGAGAGAACUCGGGUGAAGGAACUAGGCAAAAUGGUGCCGUAACUUCGGGAGAAGGCACGCUGGUGUGUAGGUGAAGUCCCUGCGGAUGGAGCUGAGACCAGUCGAAGAUACCAGCUGGCUGCAACUGUUUAUUAAAAACACAGCACUGUGCAAACACGAAAGUGGACGUAUACGGUGUGACGCCUGCCCGGUGCCGGAAGGUUAAUUGAUGGGGUUAUCCGUAAGGAGAAGCUCUUGAUCGAAGCCCCGGUAAACGGCGGCCGUAACUAUAACGGUCCUAAGGUAGCGAAAUUCCUUGUCGGGUAAGUUCCGACCUGCACGAAUGGCGUAAUGAUGGCCAGGCUGUCUCCACCCGAGACUCAGUGAAAUUGAACUCGCUGUGAAGAUGCAGUGUACCCGCGGCAAGACGGAAAGACCCCGUGAACCUUUACUAUAGCUUGACACUGAACAUUGAGCCUUGAUGUGUAGGAUAGGUGGGAGGCUUUGAAGCGUGGACGCCAGUCUGCGUGGAGCCAACCUUGAAAUACCACCCUUUAAUGUUUGAUGUUCUAACGUUGGCCCCUUACCGGGGUUGCGGACAGUGUCUGGUGGGUAGUUUGACUGGGGCGGUCUCCUCCCAAAGCGUAACGGAGGAGCACGAAGGUUAGCUAAUCCUGGUCGGACAUCAGGAGGUUAGUGCAAUGGCAUAAGCUAGCUUGACUGCGAGCGUGACGGCGCGAGCAGGUGCGAAAGCAGGUCAUAGUGAUCCGGUGGUUCUGAAUGGAAGGGCCAUCGCUCAACGGAUAAAAGGUACUCCGGGGAUAACAGGCUGAUACCGCCCAAGAGUUCAUAUCGACGGCGGUGUUUGGCACCUCGAUGUCGGCUCAUCACAUCCUGGGGCUGAAGUAGGUCCCAAGGGUAUGGCUGUUCGCCAUUUAAAGUGGUACGCGAGCUGGGUUUAGAACGUCGUGAGACAGUUCGGUCCCUAUCUGCCGUGGGCGCUGGAGAAUUGAGGGGGGCUGCUCCUAGUACGAGAGGACCGGAGUGGACGCAUCACUGGUGUUCGGGUUGUCAUGCCAAUGGCACUGCCCGGUAGCUAAAUGCGGAAGAGAUAAGUGCUGAAAGCAUCUAAGCACGAAACUUGCCCCGAGAUGAGUUCUCCCUGAGACUUUAAGUCUCCUGAAGGAACGUU
rnacentral:rRNA from 1 species